CUGGCGCUGGGAAGGGUAGGGAGAGAAGGAGAGCCAGCGAGGGAGGGAGGGAGUGGGAGGAGGAGGAGAGGGAGCCGAACGACCAUUUAAAGCGAUAGCAAUCCCUGCCCUCUCCCCAGUGCUGGGCUGUUGGAGAGAGCGAGCGGCAAGCCGGUGAGCGCGAGCGCGGCGCGCCGGCCGGCUAACCCGAGAGCGCGAGGCGCCCCAGGCUGGCAGGCACCGUGGGACCCCUCACCCACUCUGGUCGCCCCUCCCCGGACUCCCCCACCCUCCGUGCCUGCAGGAGCCCCUGGGCUUUCCCGGAGGAGCUCGCCCUGAGGGGCCCGGACCUCGGCGAGCCCACCACCGUCCCUUCCAGCGCUGCCGCCGCCACCGCAGCAGCCGGAGCAGCAUGGUCCAGCUGAGGAAGCUGCUCCGCGUCCUGACUUUGAUGAAGUUCCCCUGCUGCGUGCUGGAGGUGCUCCUGUGCGCGCUGGCGGCGGCGGCGCGCGGCCAGGAGAUGUACGCCCCGCACUCAAUCCGGAUCGAGGGGGACGUCACCCUCGGGGGGCUGUUCCCAGUGCACGCCAAGGGUCCCAGCGGAAUGCCCUGCGGUGACAUCAAGAGGGAGAACGGGAUCCACAGGCUGGAAGCGAUGCUUUACGCCCUGGACCAGAUCAACAGUGAUCCCAACCUACUGCCCAACGUGACGCUGGGCGCGCGGAUCCUGGACACUUGUUCCAGGGACACUUACGCGCUCGAACAGUCGCUCACUUUCGUCCAGGCGCUCAUCCAGAAGGACACCUCCGACGUGCGCUGCACCAACGGCGAACCCCCGGUUUUCGUCAAGCCGGAGAAAGUAGUUGGAGUGAUUGGGGCUUCGGGGAGUUCGGUCUCCAUCAUGGUAGCCAACAUCCUGAGGCUCUUCCAGAUCCCCCAAAUUAGUUAUGCAUCAACGGCACCUGAGCUAAGUGAUGACCGGCGCUACGACUUCUUCUCUCGCGUGGUGCCACCCGAUUCCUUCCAAGCCCAGGCCAUGGUAGACAUUGUAAAAGCCCUAGGCUGGAAUUAUGUGUCUACUCUUGCAUCUGAAGGAAGUUAUGGAGAGAAAGGUGUGGAGUCCUUCACGCAGAUUUCCAAAGAGGCAGGUGGACUCUGCAUUGCCCAGUCCGUGAGAAUCCCCCAGGAACGCAAAGACAGGACCAUUGACUUUGAUAGAAUUAUCAAGCAACUCCUGGACACCCCCAACUCCAGGGCCGUCGUGAUUUUUGCCAACGACGAGGAUAUAAAGCAGAUCCUUGCAGCAGCCAAAAGAGCUGACCAAGUUGGCCAUUUUCUUUGGGUGGGAUCAGACAGCUGGGGAUCCAAAAUAAACCCACUGCACCAGCAUGAAGAUAUCGCAGAAGGGGCCAUCACCAUUCAGCCCAAGCGAGCCACGGUGGAAGGGUUUGAUGCCUACUUUACAUCCCGUACACUUGAAAACAACAGAAGAAAUGUAUGGUUUGCUGAAUACUGGGAGGAAAACUUCAACUGCAAGUUGACGAUUAGUGGGUCAAAAAAAGAAGACACAGAUCGCAAAUGCACAGGACAGGAGAGAAUUGGAAAAGAUUCCAACUAUGAGCAGGAGGGUAAAGUCCAGUUUGUGAUUGACGCGGUCUAUGCUAUGGCUCAUGCCCUUCACCACAUGAACAAGGAUCUCUGUGCUGACUACCGGGGUGUCUGUCCAGAGAUGGAGCAAGCUGGAGGCAAGAAGUUGCUGAAGUAUAUCCGCAAUGUUAACUUCAAUGGUAGUGCUGGCACUCCAGUGAUGUUUAACAAGAACGGGGAUGCACCUGGCCGUUAUGACAUCUUUCAGUACCAGACCACAAACACCAGCAACCCGGGUUACCGUCUGAUCGGGCAGUGGACAGACGAACUUCAGCUCAAUAUAGAAGACAUGCAGUGGGGUAAAGGAGUCCGAGAGAUACCUCCCUCAGUGUGCACACUACCAUGUAAGCCUGGACAGAGAAAGAAGACACAGAAAGGAACUCCUUGCUGUUGGACCUGUGAGCCUUGCGAUGGUUACCAGUACCAGUUUGAUGAGAUGACAUGCCAGCAUUGUCCCUAUGACCAGAGGCCCAAUGAAAAUCGAACUGGAUGCCAAGAUAUUCCCAUCAUCAAACUGGAGUGGCACUCCCCCUGGGCUGUGAUUCCUGUCUUCCUGGCAAUGUUGGGGAUCAUUGCCACCAUCUUUGUUAUGGCCACUUUCAUCCGCUACAAUGACACGCCCAUUGUCCGGGCAUCUGGGCGGGAACUCAGCUAUGUUCUUUUGACGGGCAUCUUUCUUUGCUACAUCAUCACUUUCCUGAUGAUUGCCAAACCUGAUGUGGCAGUGUGUUCUUUCCGGCGUGUUUUCUUGGGCUUGGGUAUGUGCAUCAGUUAUGCAGCCCUCUUGACGAAAACAAAUCGGAUUUAUCGCAUAUUUGAGCAGGGCAAGAAAUCGGUAACAGCUCCCAGACUCAUAAGCCCAACAUCACAACUGGCAAUCACUUCCAGUUUAAUAUCAGUUCAGCUUCUAGGGGUUUUCAUUUGGUUUGGUGUUGAUCCACCCAACAUCAUCAUAGACUAUGAUGAACAUAAGACGAUGAACCCUGAGCAAGCCAGAGGAGUUCUCAAGUGUGACAUUACAGAUCUCCAAAUCAUUUGCUCCUUGGGAUAUAGCAUUCUUCUCAUGGUCACAUGUACUGUGUAUGCCAUCAAGACUCGGGGUGUACCAGAGAAUUUUAAUGAAGCCAAGCCCAUUGGAUUCACUAUGUACACGACAUGUAUAGUAUGGCUUGCCUUCAUUCCAAUUUUUUUUGGCACCGCUCAAUCAGCGGAAAAGCUCUACAUACAAACUACCACGCUUACAAUCUCCAUGAACCUAAGUGCGUCAGUGGCGCUGGGGAUGCUAUACAUGCCGAAAGUAUACAUCAUCAUUUUCCACCCUGAACUCAAUGUCCAGAAACGGAAGCGAAGCUUCAAGGCGGUAGUCACAGCAGCCACCAUGUCAUCGAGGCUGUCACACAAACCCAGUGACAGACCCAACGGUGAGGCAAAGACAGAGCUCUGUGAAAAUGUAGACCCAAACAACUGUAUACCACCAGUAAGAAAGAGUGUACAAAAGUCUGUUACUUGGUACACUAUCCCACCAACAGUAUAGCUUUUGACUGCUUUCCAAAAGUAACCUCUGAGGACCUCAGCUUGCACAAAGAGGAUUGAGAUAACAUUUCCAAAGCUUGUUCUUCCUGAGCUGACCCAACACUUAGAAAAACGUGACAUGGAUCAGCAACCCCAUUUUCUGUGAGAAAUGCAACUGCAAUUGACCAUCUGCACUGGCAUCUAGUCAAGUGAUUGUCUGAGGAAAGGAUUUUGGAGAUUCCCAUCUGAUAUUCUUCUAUUUGGUCUCUUGUACCCAUUGUCUUCCUGUACCACACACAUAAUAAAGUUUAAGAAUGUCAAGCAAUCCAUCUGCAUCUAAUUUUUGUUUGGAAUAACCUGCAGGAUUUUCUAAUACAUCUUGAAAUAUCAAUACAUCUCCAGUCUUGUCUUCAACCUAUUUAGUGUUGAUCAUUUUUGGAGCAAUGGUGCCUUAAAGUCAAAAUUUUGCUGUAUUGUCAAAUGAGCUAUCUGGGAAAUCACAUUUAAACACACUUAGUUUUCAUUUAAUUUCAUAACACAACACAUAUUUCCUAACUCUAGGCAUAAAUACAUUCAACAUUUUCACCAUCAUGGUUUAAAAAUUAGUACCUGUUAGUACUCAGAUAUUUAAGGAAAUGCCAAUGACCAAUUUUUAAAAAUCCUUUGUAUGGCAGAAAAUUUGCCAAAAGCAAACCUUCUGAAGUACAUUUCAGUUUAUACUUCAGUCUGAUUUAAAUCAUUUGUUCCCCUAACCUUGUGGGCAUCAAAAGGUCACCUGUAUUUAACAAACUUCUCAGUGAUUCUGAUGCACAUCCAGGUUUGGGAAACAGUUUUAUUUUUUAAAUUGUCCUUGAUAAGAAACACAUGCAAUAUGGUAUUGAUGUGAUGGUGAUCACUUACAGAGCAAAGUGUUUUUCAUGGUAUUAAAAUGAUUGAUUUUUGAAAAGUUAUUUGGGUUUAUUGCACAAGUGGGAUCUACCAUGUACCCAAGAAGUCACCCCUCUGUAGGCUAGUACUGUGAGAAGCUAUGUCAAGGUCCCCUCUCAAGAGACUCUCCAAUCUGGUGUUGCAGACUAAAUAAAACUAAAGUUAAUUGCUGAGCUCUGUUACUGGAGCACAAAAACAUAGCAUCACCUUUGUUUAAAGCUGAAUCACCAUGAUAACACUCAGUAAGGAGCUGGGUCAACAUUCCUUUUUUCUGCACUCAGUCGGCCACAAGGCCUGGCCUUUUGUAGGCAAAGUGUGUUGAUACGUCUUAUGCAAUCAUUUCAAGGCACUUAGCCAAGGAAGUCUACAUAUUUUUUUUUAGCCCUGAAGUCCUCAAAGAGAAUAUGAUUUUUAAAUCUUCAUUUAUGCUUUCUAUGCUUUUCUGCGCAAUCAGAUAGUGAAAAUGAUUAGGAUAGUCUUCAAUAACUAUUGCUGUUAAUAAAUCAACCAUGAUUUUAUGGAGAAGCAGUCUAGUGCCCAGGUUAAGACUGAAGAUGUUGGAGCCCAUAUACCUGGAUUCUAAAUCCAACUUUGUCAUUCUCCAGAUUGUGAUGUGGCCAUGUUGCCUACUCUGCGCAUCAGUUUUCUCAUCUGUAAAAUUGGUAUAACCUUAGUAACUACCACAUGGGGCAGUUAUUAGGAUUAAAUUAGUUAAUAUAUAUGACAUGAUGCUUAAAACAGUGAUUGGCAUGUAAUAGAAUGCUAAAUAAUUUGUUGUUACUCCUUAAUGACUAUCACCAACUGAAGUAUAGUUGUCAAUCCAUACAGUAGCCACUGGAUACUUGUGGCUACUUAAAUUAAUUAGAAUUAAAUAAUCUUGCACAAGUCACAUUUCAGGUUCUUAACAGGCACAUAUAGCUAGCAGCUCCCAUAUUGGACUACAAAGUUAGAGAACAUUUCCAUUAUCACAAAAAUUAAAUAGCACUGAGCCACAACUUAAGAGAAGGUAAAAAGAGGGAUAAGAAUGUCCUUUAUAAAAGAGUUCCUUUUGUUCUUAAUACUCUCCAUUGCUUAUAAGAAUUAUCUAUACAUCUCUCAAGAGUGUUUGGACCCAUUUCUUUUGUAGCUUCUAGUAAAAAGCCAUUUACGUUGUAGAGUGUACAGUAUAUACUGUGAGUUAACAAAAAUAGUUUAUCAGAAAUGAUGUUCUCUUAGUUGAGAAGGUUUCCCCAAUUCCUUUCACAAGCUAUUUAUAACGCUUUCUAUUCAUUCAUUCUAUAGUUGAAUCUAGUUCUUGAAAAGGAGGCAAGAUGGCAAGUUUGUUUGUGGUCAGUACAUAGAGAAUGACUACAGUAAGGCUUUGUAUGUAAGGGAGAAUGGUUUUCUUAGUCACGACCCGAAUGGAAGUAAUGUGCAUAUUCACUCAUCAUGCCAUGUUUCCUCAGUAACAGAAAAGCCAAAUUAAAUAUUCCAGGAUAUGAACAGAGGCUUCACCCAACCUUAAACAGAAUAUUUCCAAGCACUUUUCACUUGGAUUGGCCAACUUUGAGAUUCUGGUGUCAGCUGGAAAAUUCUCUUUUUCUAAAAAGUCAAAAUUGACGUGUCUUAUUUUUUUCUGUGCAUGGUUAGCCCUUGGCAACAUUGUCUGGCAGUUGCUUUGUAAAUGUUUCAGAAGGAAAAAACAAUACAGGCAAGGGACUGAAGAUGGCUAUUUUUCAGCUAUCAGAAGUUUUAUGUGAAUCAUGAGUAGUUAAUAAUAUUUUACAUUAGCUAGAGGAGUUUCUGCUAUCAGUUUAUAUGUUGGGAGAGCUUUUAUUUAAAACUAGCAUGGAAAGCUAGUAAGAAGAGCCAGUAAAAGAUAUUUAAUCCCAGUUCCAGGCCAGUUCUAUCAAUCAGGUUGAGUACAGCUAAAGGUAAACCUCCUUCAGUAUCUCAGGUGCUCACUCCAGACAGAACUCAAGCUGUUAAAUGGCCAGAUAAGGGAUUGAGAAAGAAAGAACCAUGUCGUUCUUUCCAUGAACUUGCAUACAAGCUAUACAUUUAAAUAAAUAUUGACUUCUCAAUCUCCUCAAUAAAACAGCAUCAAUGAAUUUGUGUCCAGAAGGACAAAAUAGGCAAAAAAGAAAACUAUACCUAAUUUUUAAAAAUUACAUCAUCAUCAAUUAACUAUUGUAUUCAACUUGCCCUUGUGUAACAUUUUGUAGUUUUGUUUUAUUAUGUGCUUGCAAAUUCAGCAUCUUAUUUUAUCUUCAGGGUAUCUCGCUGAGGUAGGUGUCAUUAUCCUCAUUCAUAGAAACGUAAAGUAAGGCUCAGAGAGGUGAAGAAAAUGAUCCAAGGUAUUAGUGACAGAAGUUUUAGAACCCAUUCUGAUCCCUUUGUGCAUCAGCAUUUCUUCAUUAAAGAGCUGUAAUAUUUUUGAACUGAAAAAAUUAAUUUUAAGCCAAGGAGAGAACAACAAAUGUUAUCUCAUGAUAGAAGAUUCAGAUUUACAAUGCAGGAUACAAAUUUAUUUUGGUUUCUUCUACUCAUAGAUGAUCAGCAGCAGCGAGGAGCCACUUGUUGCCUUAUCUAGCUCAGGCCAGAAUAAAGAAUCAAGAUAGACAGCUUUAAAAGAGGAGUGAAUUAUUAACUCCACAUAGCACUUCAUGGUAUAUGUCUCCCCAAAGCCAGAAGGCUGGCAUAGCUGAAGAUGAGUGUCUGUCUUGUGUCUGAGGGAGGAAACAGCAUGACACUCUGCACUGUCACUCAGCUUUCGGCUUCCAGUGCCAACUGUUAAGGAGGUUCCACCAUUACUGUAGGGGUUAUAAAGAAAUUGCAAAUGUCCAAUUAAAACCAGGCUUGUUGUGUUCGAACAAAUAGCCCUGUGAGGCUUACUAAACAGGUUAUAUUAAGUCUGAAAAGAAAGAAAAGUUUGCUAUUAAUUUACGGAGUGGUUACUCUUGUUAGGGACUCUGCAUGGAAGGCCAAGAUAGAACAAGCUGCAGCUCCUCCAAGAGUUUGCAAUUAAAAGCAGAAGGGAGAACAAAUUACUCCUUGCCAGGUACUAUACAUUGACUUAUACUAGAGGUAUGUAAAGAGGACUGAAGGGGGCCAUUUGCAAGGGGAAAGUCUAACUAUGGCUUAAAGGAUGAGGCAAUAUGGGAGAGGGUGUUCUGGGCAGAAGGAUCAUCCUAAAUAAAGUCCAAAUGCAUUAAGUGGCAGCAGUAGUGGCAGCCAUGCUGUGUGGCACAUAUUGGGUUCUUCCCAUGCACCAGCCACUAUUCUGUGUACUUAAUAUGUGUUAACUCAUUUAAUUACACAACUGUAUGUGAUAGCCAUCAUUAGGCUACUUUUACAGAUAAGGAAACUGAGGUACAGAGAUUUUAAAUAAUUUUCUCCAAGUCACACAGCUGAUAACUAGAGGAUCUUGGAGAUAAGCCCAGGCCAUCUGGGCCCAGAAAUCAUGCUCUAAACAAUGGACUACUUCCCAGUGGUAGGUAAAUACAUGGUGUGUUUGUGGAAGGUCUGUUUUCCAGUAUAGCUAAACCACAGGCCUUUUCAACCAUAGCACUACUGACAUGUGGGCCUGGACAAUUCUUGUUGCAGUGGGCUGUCCACUGCAUCGUAGGAUGUUUAGCAACAUCUUUGACUUCCAUCCCAAUGUUGAGCAUCAAAGACAUCUCCAGAAAUUGCCUACUGUUUUCUGAGGGCACAAUUACUCCCAGUUAAGUACCACUGGGCUCCUAUAUGAUGGGUAAGCCUGGAGAAGAGCAGAAGAAAACAAUUAGAACUCAGCUGUGAAUAUUCCCAAAUUCUCUUCUGAAGGCUAUGGGAAUGUACUCUAUAUAGAGAAAAAUGUCAACGGGUUACAACCGAGUAGCAGAAAAGAUAAUUUGCAGGAGCACUAGGGCAGGAAGUAUUGUCAGAGACUACACACUUUUGAGAUCUUAGCUUAGGAGCAGGAUUAUCUGCAGACUUUAUAGAAAUCUAUGCUCAAAAAUUCCAAAGCUACAGAUGACAAAGGGUAAUCUCUCAGAACAGUGCAAAAGUUCAGGCAACCACUUCACCUUAGUAGUCCCUGGGUUACAGUCAAUCCUGACCUGAAAGCUCAAAACUCCAAGUUUGAUUUCAGGUAAGGAAGAUUCCACAUCUAUGGAAAAACUGACCACCUAGUUUUCUGAAAAAGCUCUAUCAUCAGACCCCAGGUCACCUUGUAAAUGUGAACAUAAUUACAUAAACUUUAGAGAGGACAUCUCUACAGGAAUAUUUACUAGACAGUUGGUGACAAUGGGAAAAAAUAGAAGUAUUCUUCCUUCAACUCUCUACAUACACAUUUCAAACCAAGGGGAUAUGUAUUUAGAGUAGCUCUUAGGAAAGGAAAAGCCUAUGUACUUUCUAAAUUCUGUAACAAACAAGUUACUUUUAUCAAACAAUUUUUUAAAUUUGAAAAUGUAUGGUUCAAAUAGAUCUAAUUUGAACUGUACGUCUGUUGGUGAGUAGACAACACUGAACUAAUCAUGACAUUCAUCCAUUUUCAAAAAUUAGUAUGUUUUUUUUUCUUUUCUACUACUUACUUUGGCUCCUAAUGUUUUUUUCUUUAUCAACUCAUUGGGAAGGAUUACAAAGAAUUAUUUUCUUAGCCCUCUUUAUAAGACUGCUAUGAGCAUUUUGAAUCUAGUGCAGUUCCAAGCUUCUAGCUAACUUUAUAGUUUUGAAGAUAGAUUUUUUUUCUUAAAAAAAGUAACUUGAUUGCCUGAGAAAAGUUUUCUGAUCCCAGAGGAAGCAAGUGAGGCAUCUUUGACUGGAGAGCCAGUCUAGGGUCAGAGUUAUAGGCUUUGGAGUUGGACCUGGCAUAAGUCUGAAACAAACAUCUUCCCAUCUAAACUGCCUCAUCUGUCAACACAGGGAUACAGGACCCUCUGUAAGCAAGUUAUUUCAAGACUGGGUGAGAUGGCACAAGCUAAAGUCCUGGGAUGUGAUCUGAUACAUAGCUGAUACUCAGAAAUUGGCAUCCCUUCUCAACUAGCAUUUAGCAGAAUCAUCUAGGACUUUUAGGAGAUCAGGUCUCCUUUGAACCUCUUAGAAAUUUCUUCUGUGUUCAGAUAAGACAACAACCUGCUUUCAACAAGGGCACAUCCCUGCGACUCAGUGGAUGUCCCUGAACUAAAGGCAGAAACCUGCCUUCCUCUCCCAACAACACAUCUCUCUGGUCUCAGUGACAGCCAGAAGGACUGUGGAAACUGGAAUUGUAGGAUUCAAGCAUCUCAACAUCAGCAGUUCUCCUGGGAACACCACCAAGCUCUCAGCUUGCGUUGUGGUAAAGACAAUACCUAACAGAAAAUUGUCUUCAAUAGCUUUGUUUAAAAAAAGAUACUCAAAUAGAAUGCCUCAGUCUAGAUCAGUCAUUCUGCUAAGGAUUUGAAAUCUCAAACAGCUGGAGGUUUUUUCAAACUUGACAGUUUGUCUUUGAAGGAGAUUGCUAAGCUUUUAGAUUCUUCAUAAAUAGUAAAUAGAUUUAGUCAUAAAUAUCCUGUAAUAUGUGCUUUGUUCCUUUUAUUCAGAAGCAAGUUGUAAUUUCUGAUUAAACACGAUAAAUCAUUAUACAACAGCCAUUGUAUGGGGAUAACAGCCACCAGGAAAUGCAGUUUCUGCACUGAUGAAAGGCAUUUAAAGACAUGAAACCCCAAACAUCUGCCACACAUUGUUAGGAAAAUAAAGGACACUUACAAGUAUCUUGCAGCAUUUUAAGGACAGCCAGCAGCUGGCAAGAAUGUAAAUAGUUUUAAGAGGUGAUCAGUUCUCAUCUCACAAGUCAUUCUUUCCUUCCCUUCAUAAGUGAAAAGCUUUCUUUUUCAAGAUAGUUAACAGAAAGCAAGCAUCCAGAAAGUGGAAACAAUAAAAUCUCAUGAGGGCAGUGAAAAAUGAAGCCCUUUUUCCCCUUUCCCCCAGGGAACAGAUGCAUGAAAUUGUUCAGAAUAUUUGGAGACUGCCGAUAUAAGAUGUGGAAUUGGCACCGCCAGCAUCCUGAGACAUGCUUGGGAUUGGGCAUGAGUGAGAAGCUUUGGCAUAACAAUAGAGGGGACCUUGUUGGCAUGCUGCCCAGUCUUCUCCAAAGAUGCUUUUCUUUCCCAAUGCCAUUAAUUCUCCUUGGCCACUGGAGGCCUGGUUUUGGAAACUCAUACAGAAGAUACCAGUGGUUGCCUUUAUUUCGAGUCAUUCCUUCAGGCCUCAGUAAGAAUUGGAGGGUAGUUAAACUGGUGGUAGGAUGCUUUACCCAGAAAACUCCCUGUGGAUGGUCAGUUCACAGGGAUUCCUAACAGAAGAUAUUAUUCACUAGAGGUAUUUGGAAACUGAACACUAAGUUGAACAGAACACAGUAUUCUUUGUGCAUUGAAGGCCUGCUAAUCACUAAUGAUCUUCAAUGAGACAUUUUAGACACUAAGCUCUAUGACAGUGGGAACCGUUUUUUCCUCUUUGCCAUUGCAUCUUCGUCACCAAGCCUAUGGUAGA